rnacentral:lncRNA from 1 species
CGUUAUCCAAUCCCGUCUGAACACUCUCGACCUUAACCAAUCUCUUUCUCUCUAUCUCUGCCCCGCCUCCGUCCGCACCUUCUAGGAGCACUCCUACUGCGUCAACUCUGCCUCCGGCGACUGUACCGCACGCGUCUCGGACGUGCGUGAGCCUAGAUCCACCAUGAUCAUCCCGGCGCACGAGUUCGAGAUCCUCCCUUGCGAUUUGAACAAGUACGGCGACUGCGUCAUCACCACCACCUUCGUCGACAAAUCGAUCAAGGUUUGGGACGUCAGAUCCAUCAGAGCUCCGAUUUCGGUGCUCAACGGCCACAGCUACACUGUCAAAAAAGUCAAAUUCUCGCCGCACCGGCAAAGCUUGAUGAUGUCGUGCUCGUACGACUUGUCGUUGCUUCAAUACAAGGACUAGGCACUGGCGACGGUUUCGAUAGCUACAGCUCCGGC